rnacentral:lncRNA from 1 species
AGACAGCGUGUUGCCGUCAAGCUCUCCCAGCCCCAGCGCAAGGCCGGGGAUGCUCGCGGGACGGUGGCCAUCAGUCCGCCGCGGCGAAAGGAAGAGCCAAGCCCGGGGCAGGAGCGGGCGGGGAGCGCGCCCCCGCCCCGCUGCGCUCCCCGCGGACCCUCAGCCUCGUUGGUGCAGUGGUUCUUAACAGUUCAACAGUUCUCUAGCAUAAUUGUGAAAUGUUUAGGACCACUUGACCAGCGAGGCCCGGGCAUCGGCGGCAGCGGCGGAGACCUGCAGCGCCCGCGGCGGAGCGAGCCGGAGCGGGGGAGCCGCCGGGCCGGCCCCGGGAGGAGGAGCCGGAGCCAGGGCCGGGAGCCGGCGGGAACGGCCCGGCCCGGCCCCGCAGCCCCUGGGACGGGCGGCGAGGAGAGGCAGGGCCGGACCAGCACCCACCGCCGGCCGCGGGUCCCGCUCCGGGAUGGCGGAGUGAGCAAAGACAGGGCAAGUGCUUAAAAAGAAAAAAAAAAUAUUACUGCGUGUCCUGUGGGAACUGAGGAGUUUAAUAACUUAAAAGGAACAGGUAGGAUAAAUACUGCUGCAGCUGCUGUCAUCUGGCUGUGCUAGAGGCAGGCUGGUACAUUUACUGCAUAACCAUCUGUUCUCUCCUUUAUCUGCACCAUACACUCAGAUGCACAGAUUAAAAAAAAAAAAAUCAGAUUGACUCUCCAGGCUGCAUUCUCCAGAGGCUUCCCACCUUUCCACUGGUAAUAAUAUGCAAGAUGUAUUCAGUGAUAGCACUUCUUUGUCUUUGAGUGCCUUUUUACUUAGGGCAGCAUAGCCUUUCUCUUGUGCUGUUUUAUACUGUAUUUUCUGUAGGUACACUUACUGCAGGCAGCUAAAGGACAUCUGGACUUUCUGUCCUAACUUGACUUUCUGUCCUAGCUUGGUUGAAUUACUUCAGAGGAUGUCUGCUCUUAGAACUGUGGCAAUGAUGGCCUGGCUUGAAGGUCUGUGGACUUAAUCAAAUCGACAUUAGAGAAAAUCCUGGAUCUUUCAAAAUACAGCUGAAGAAUUUGAUUUUUUAAAAAGAGGAGGGGAAACAAAGAAGUCUGAAAACUGCAAUUCUUCCAACAAUUUAUUUUUCUUAUAGAAGUGUAGCAGGUACUUUAGCUUGGUAAAUAAGAGGUUCUUCUUACCUUGUGCUCAUUCUUCUCACCCGUAUCCCAAGUAUCAAACUGAAACUAGAAAUGUAACAGGUUUCUUUUUAUUUUUCUUAAUUUGCAGUUAAAUAAAAAGGGCAAUAGACUAAUUCA